GCGCGUCGGCGGCCGCGGAGCAGCGCGGUGAGCCAGGCGGGCUGCCUGCGGGUGUGAAGAAAAAAAAUGACACUCCAAUGGGCGGCAGUGGCAACCUUUCUUUAUGCCGAAAUAGGACUCAUUUUAAUCUUCUGCUUACCUUUUAUUCCUCCUCAGAGAUGGCAGAAGAUUUUUUCAUUUAAUGUCUGGGGUAAAAUUGCAACUUUUUGGAACAAGGCUUUCCUUACCAUUAUCAUCCUGUUGAUUGUUCUGUUUCUAGAUGCCGUGAGAGAAGUAAGGAAAUAUUCCUCAGUUCAUACCAUUGAGAAGAGCUCCACCAGCAGACCUGAUGCCUAUGAACACACACAGAUGAAACUUUUUAGGUCUCAAAGAAAUCUUUACAUUUCUGGAUUUUCACUAUUUUUUUGGCUGUAAGUAAAAAAUAAUAAUAGAAGCACAAUUUAAAAACAUGAUUUAUGCUUCUCUUUCUCAUUUUGUCCACCUUUACUGUAGAUUUUUUUUUUUAAGAGA
rnacentral:sRNA from 1 species